rnacentral:rRNA from 2 species
GAGCUUGCUCCUUUGACGUUAGCGGCGGACGGGUGAGUAACACGUGGAUAACCUACCUAUAAGACUGGGAUAACUUCGGGAAACCGGAGCUAAUACCGGAUAACAUAUUGAACCGCAUGGUUCAAUAGUGAAAGGCGGCUUUGCUGUCACUUAUAGAUGGAUCCGCGCCGUAUUAGCUAGUUGGUAAGGUAACGGCUUACCAAGGCAACGAUACGUAGCCGACCUGAGAGGGUGAUCGGCCACACUGGAACUGAGACACGGUCCAGACUCCUACGGGAGGCAGCAGUAGGGAAUCUUCCGCAAUGGGCGAAAGCCUGACGGAGCAACGCCGCGUGAGUGAUGAAGGUCUUCGGAUCGUAAAACUCUGUUAUCAGGGAAGAACAAAUGUGUAAGUAACUGUGCACAUCUUGACGGUACCUGAUCAGAAAGCCACGGCUAACUACGUGCCAGCAGCCGCGGUAAUACGUAGGUGGCAAGCGUUAUCCGGAAUUAUUGGGCGUAAAGCGCGCGUAGGCGGUUUUUUAAGUCUGAUGUGAAAGCCCACGGCUCAACCGUGGAGGGUCAUUGGAAACUGGAAAACUUGAGUGCAGAAGAGGAAAGUGGAAUUCCAUGUGUAGCGGUGAAAUGCGCAGAGAUAUGGAGGAACACCAGUGGCGACGACUUUCUGGUCUGUAACUGACGCUGAUGUGCGAAAGCGUGGGGAUCAAACAGGAUUAGAUACCCUGGUAGUCCACGCCGU